CGUGCGUGCGCGCGCGCGCACGCAUGCAUGCGUGUGCGAGUGAGUGUUUUGCAAUAGAAUGAUAAUAAUAUUCGUAGACUCGGUCGAACUCGUUAGCACUUGAAGUUACCAUCCAAUUGGUAAUCCAAUACGUUGACCGAGCGACGCAGGAAAACGAAAAGCAGACGAAAGCAAAACUCAAUCACGAAAGCCAUCGUGAUCGAGCACGAUAAGAUAUAUGCGAUGAUUCACGUGUAAAGACACGAUCUGCGCAAGCCAAAAUUCAUGCUAUUACGUUAGACUUGUAUUAUUAUGCAUUAGAGAACAGGAAAUAGAACUACUCUCUCGGCAUUAUUCCCAACGCAUUUCGUACAAAAUAGUCGUAACGAUCGAUUUUGGUAUACAUCGUUAGAACGUAAGUAUUUUAUCGAUAUCAUUCGACGUUUUUAUCAUACAACGUACCUUAUUAUAAUAACUCUUAUUAAAGAGUUGGUUUAACCUCAUACGAUUUAUUUCUUAUCUUUCACUCGUCUUGUUAAAGAAAAAUUAUUGAGAUAACUUUCACUGUAUCAAGAAAUGAAUAUUCUCGGAUAUGUUCACUCUAUUAAAUCGUUAUAUUUGAUAAAAAAUGAAACGUGCGUGAACGAUAGAAUCGAAUAGAGAUUGUAAUUAUCUAUUAACGAUAGAUCUUUCGUAUAAAUAAAUUCCGAUCAUCUAAUAAUAUCGAUUCGUAUGUUCGACCGAUCGAUAUGACAAUCACGUAAGAAGCAAAAAUCGAAGGAGUCACGCGUCAAUGGACCGAACCGGCAAUCAUCCAUGCGAACAUAAACGAGCAAAGAGUAAAAGGAAACACGUUAAUACCCUCGAAUAUUAUACUUGAACUAAUGCUAAACGGUUUCAACAAGGACAAGGAUCGAUUUGAUGUAACGGUCACGUUUUCUCGGACAUCGUGGCAAAUCGUUUAGUAAAAGAUUGGAUCGAAUCACGGAAGGUUAAGAUUCUUCCAUUAUAUUUCCUUGUGUUUCGGAAAGAAAUAGAGAUGGAAUUACGUAAAGAAAAUAUUUGCAGAUAAAAUGGUAAAGCUUGUAUCGACAACCUAUACGUUUUCAAGCAGACCCCACAGAAAGAUAAAUUUGCAGAAACUUACCAAUCAGGAAAGAGUACGUGUGCUUCGGCAAGGAUGUCUCGUAGAAGUGUGGUCGCAGGUGGGACGUGAGGUAAAAUAACAGGAGCGAAUACACCGCACACGCCAGCGCUUCGUCCGUGUCUUGCUUCGUAUCUGCUUAAAUAAAUCGCCAAGUAACCAAGUAAGCGAUAAUGAGAGGACGGGAGGGUUGAUAGGAGUUCCUUCGUCGAUUUAAUCCAGGAUUCGUGAUUAUUUGAGUAAUCAUCUGUAAAAGCAGAGAUAAAAGCGUACGGAUAAAAAGAUCCAAUUAGAGGGAAGUCUUAGAAGAAUCAUUUAAAACGUUCGAAGAAGUAACGACGAUACUAACUGUUGUGAAGGUUCAACAAGCUUGCGACCAAAGUGGACGGUACAACGGGUUGCGGCAAUUCUUUCAGGUACUGUCGAAGAAGGGUGGCCGCUGUGGAUGGACAAGCUGCAGAUUCCAAAUCGGCGUCGCCUCUUCUCUCGAAGGUAGUCCUCAAUCUUUCAGCGAGUCUUGGACUACCGCCCGAUAGACGAAAUACCGCAGCACUUUGGAAACCGUGAGCCUCGAUAUAGCUGCAGAGCCGAUGGACCACGUAGGGUACACCCGUUUCCUGAUAAGACUCUAUCAAGUCGAGCCGAGCACCGAACACUCUCGUGGACCCUCUGCCUCGGCCAAGGAACGAUCCUGCGAGGACUCGCUUCACUCUGGCGAGGCGGGACUCGUCCUGAGAGACGACCAGCUUGGUUAAAUUCUCGUCCGACGUAGUGUACGGUCAACGAUCGACGAUGGAUGCGCAACGUCACUAUUCGCAUAUGACAUUUCAAAGUUCCUACAUUCAAAAAUCCAUCGGAUCAGUGCAUCUCGAACUUGCUAUCCAUCAUCUCGACUAUACCCCAAAAGUUUCAACAGGGGUUCGGGUUUAUGCCCGAGUAAUGAAACGCUAAUGAGUAAGAAAAAAAAAUUUACGCGACCUCGACACGCUUCGCAUUCCUAUCUUCUCUCUGUUUUUUUCUUUUCUUUUUCUCUUUUCUGUCUUUUUUCCACUAUAGCUUCCUCCUCACGAUCGAAUAAUUAACAAAUAAUAAGGAAUAAUGAGGAAUAAAGAGAGAGAAAGAGUAAAAGAGACGUUUCACCUUGUCGUGAGACUGUCGCGAACGCGUUGGACUUGCCGAUCCAUAAUGAGAUUGGUGAUGCUGAUGCUGAUUGUGGUGAUGAUGGUGGUGGUGGUGGUGGUGAUGAUGGUGGUGAUGUUGUUGUUCUUGCUGAGGACGUCUCAUCCCACUUCUACACCGCGACCCACUGCCGCACUAGUAGAAUCAAAAGAAUGUAUUUCAAUAGGUAUUAUUUUCAAUAAACGUACACAAAGAUUAAA